rnacentral:rRNA from 1 species
UACGGAGGGUGCAAGCGUUAUCCGGAUUCACUGGGUUUAAAGGGUGCGUAGGUGGGUUGGUAAGUCAGUGGUGAAAUCUCCGAGCUUAACUUGGAAACUGCCAUUGAUACUAUCGGUCUUGAAUAUUGUGGAGGUCAGCGGAAUAUGUCAUGUAGCGGUGAAAUGCUUAGAUAUGACAUAGAACACCAAUUGCGAAGGCAGCUGGCUACACAUAUAUUGACACUGAGGCACGAAAGCGUGGGGAUCAAACAGG